rnacentral:rRNA from 1 species
CAGUCGCCGCGGUAAUACGUAGGUGGCAAGCGUUGUCCGGAAUUAUUGGGCGUAAAGGGCUCGCAGGCGGUUUCUUAAGUCUGAUGUGAAAGCCCCCGGCUCAACCGGGGAGGGUCAUUGGAAACUGGGAAACUUGAGUGCAGAAGAGGAGAGUGGAAUUCCACGUGUAGCGGUGAAAUGCGUAGAGAUGUGGAGGAACACCAGUGGCGAAGGCGACUCUCUGGUCUGUAACUGACGCUGAGGAGCGAAAGCGUGAGGAGCGAACAGGAUUAGAUACCCCCGUAGUCCCUGUCUCUUAUAC